AUGCGCAGACCAAAACGGGUUUCCGGGGUAGCGGUGCCUCUUGGUUGUGCUGUCAGGUGUCACAAUGCUGGGCCAUUCUGUGAGGUCGGUGUCCGGUAAAGUCCGGAUUUUUCGGUCAUUUAAAGUAAACGCUGGUAGUGUCAGACCUCAUAGCACCGAAUGUGGUGUUUCGGGAAAGAAUUGGCUGAAACCAAGCGGCUUUGACACGGGUUUGACGACUUUUAACAGCCUGACUAAACAGAAGGAGCCGCUUAUUCUUGCCAGGGAUGGAGUAGCUACUUGGUACAGUUGUGGACCCACUGUGUACGACCAUGCCCACCUGGGCCAUGCAUGUGUGUGUGCGCGCGCGUGUGUGCGCGUGUCUUGUCGCAGUUCUUAUGUCAGGUUUGACAUCCUGCAGAGGAUUCUGUCCCGGCUGUUUGGGAUCACUGUCAUCCACGCAAUGGUGAUCACUGACAUUGAUGACAAAAUUAUCAAAAGAAGCUGGGAGGAGAAUGUAUCUCCAUCCAUAAUAGCCAGAAUGUAUGAGGAGGAUUUCAAGCAGGACAUGUUGUCCCUCAAGGUGCUCCCUCCUGUGAUUUAUUUAAGAGUCACUGAGAACAUAAAACGUAUAAUUACAUUUAUUGAAGGGAUUAUCAAAAAUGGACAUGCAUAUGCUACAAAAGAAGGUGAUGUUUUUUUCGACAUUCAGUCCAUUGGGAAUCGUUACGGCAAAUUUGUUGGAGCUGUGGAGAUGCAGGGAGAAGUUGGAGUCUCGAACAAACGUGAUCCAAGGGAUUUUGCUCUGUGGAAACCUUCCAAACCUCAAGAACCAUACUGGGACUCUCCAUGGGGCAGAGGAAGACCAGGCUGGCAUAUCGAAUGCUCUACCAUUGCCAGCUGUGUAUUUGGUGAUCAGCUGGACAUCCACUCAGGAGGCAUUGACCUAGCCUUUCCUCACCACGAGAACGAGGUGGCUCAGAGUGAAGCCUUUCACCAGUGUGACCAGUGGGGUCACUAUUUCCUCCACUCAGGACACCUGCACCUCAAAGGCAGCACUGAGAAAAUGUCCAAGUCUUUAAAGAACUACAUCACAAUUAAAGAUUUCUUGCAGUCAUAUUCUGCAAAUGAAUUCCGCAUGUUCUGUCUUUUGACCAAGUACAGGUCAGCUAUAGACUACAGUGACAGCAGCAUGAUGGAGGCUCGGACCUCACUGGGAACCAUCACCACCUUUAUCCAUGACGCUCAGGCCUACAUAAAAGGGCAGCUGCAGUGUUCCCCUGUGAAGGAAACUCUUCUCUGGGAAAGUUUGGCUGAGACUAAGUCCAAAGUCCUGAAAGCUCUGGCAGAUGACUUUGACACCCCCAGAGCCAUGGGUGCUGUGAUGAAUCUAGUUUAUCAGGGAAACUGCCAGCUGCAGCCAGUUUCUACUUGUGACAGCACAGCUCGCAGCCCUGCAGUUUUCGGGGCCAUGGUCAGUUACAUAAGAGAGGUCUUAGAUGUGUUUGGAGUCGAUCUGCUACGUGGCAAGGUCAGUAACAGCAGACUGAGGUACAGGGCACCAGUGCCAAUCUGCAGGGCAUCGUGGAGCAGCUUGCUCAUUUCCGAAGUGAAGUUCGAUCACUAGCACUCUCACAUCGCAAGGACACAGCAACAGCAUCUCUCAGGAAUCCUCUCCUCAAAGCCUGUGACACUCUCAGAAACGACCUGGCACCAUUAGGCAUUUUGAUAAAGGACAGAGGAGCCAUCUCAACGUGGGAGAUAACUGAGGGAAAACCAAGUCAGAGAUCACAGAGCGAUCAUGACAGUCUGAAGUUGAAGUCAAGCUGAAGUCUGAAUUGGAUACAAACUGUUGUGAAUGUGGUUUUUAAUGAAUCCAGUGAACAGUGUUGAUUCCAUCACUUGAUUUCUGUGGAGGAAGCCUUUUUUUUUGGACAAUGACUAAGUACCUAACACCCAACCAUCCACAGCAGUGAACCAUCUACAAAUGAGGUAAAGGAGAAAGUGCAGGUAGAGUGAAGAUGUGUUGGAUGAUGUGUGUCAAGACCAGAUGCUGACCAGAUACUGAGCUGUUUUUCAAACAUAAAAUAUCCCUUUAAACUACCUUCCUUGUGAUAUUUGUUAAUAAAAUUGUAAAUAAAUGUUUUAUUUUGUGGCUGUAUUUUAGAGAAAAAAAUACCACCGUAUAUAAAAUGCAAGAUAGCAUUAUAUUAUGUGAUAAUUAUUAUGGGUAUCCUGUGAUGUGAAAUCCUCUUGGGGAAUGACUCCUAAAAAUCACAUAAUAAAGACAAUAUGAUUAAUAAUAUUCUCUUAUAGUUCACAAGCUGUCAAUAUUGAAUUGACAUUUUCUUUUUAUUCAUUAGAUUAAAGUUUUUACACAGGGGUGUCAUACACUGUAUAACUAAUAAUACCAACAUCUGCCCACUUGUUGUUGCUCCAAUAAACAGUUGAUACACAUCAACUCACAAUGAGACAGAGUUCAGACCAUGGCUGCAGCUCAACGGAUAGAAAUUAAAUCCCCAUGAGACGGUGCUGCUGUAUGGAGGCGACUGUCAUGGAAGAAGGGAAAGACUAGACUUUUCUGGAAACAUUUAAUAAAAGGACAUCAUGCAGUGAACAAUGCAUACAACUAUAUAAACCUGAAGAAGAUGAAACAAAACCAUGAAU